rnacentral:lncRNA from 1 species
UUAUGCCAAUCUUUUUUGACAAACUCUAGUGGUACACCAUUCCCAAAAUCACUUCCUCAUUUUAAGCUUUCAUUAUUUGAUGAGUGAGGCAUUUUUCGGAAAGCCUUACAUGUGUAUAAUGUUGAGAGUAUCGGGAACGACAAUGCUUGGUCUUCAUUCUUGCUAGAUUAGGCACUCUAUUGUCUAGCUAUAGGUGGGGGUGAGUGUGGUGACUAUGGUUUGGAAGCAUGAAAAGUUCAAAGGAAAAGAAUAGACUAUUUGUGUUUAAAUGGAUAAUCUUAUUGGAAUUAAUAGAUAAA